GGUUCUUUGGCCGAGUGGUUAGGCAGUGGUCUGCAACACCAUCUACAGCGGUUCGAAUCCGCUAGGAACCUCUA
rnacentral:tRNA from 1 species